rfam:Ciona savignyi cont_28504, whole genome shotgun sequence.
AAAAAAAGCCAGUGGGUCCAGGGCGAGGCUUUGCCAUUGCACAUCGGCUUAGCUGACCCUUGCGAUUACCCCAAAUGUGGGUAACUCGGUCGUAUAAUUUCUGGUAGUGGGGACUGCGUUCGCGCUAUCCCCGU